rnacentral:rRNA from 1 species
AUUGAACGCUGGCGGCAUGCCUUACACAUGCAAGUCGAACGGCAGCACGGGGCAACCUGGUGGCGAGUGGCGAACGGGUGAGUAAUGCAUCGGAACGUACCUUUCAGUGGGGGAUAACGUAGCGAAAGUUACGCCAAUACCGCAUAUUCUGUGAGCAGGAAAGCAGGGGAUCGCAAGACCUUGCGCUGAUUGCGCGGCCGAUGUCAGAUUAGCUGGUUGGUGAGGUAAAGGCUCACCAAGGCGACGAUCUGUAGCGGGUCUGAGAGGAUGAUCCGCCACACUGGAACUGAGACACGGUCCAGACUCCUACGGGAGGCAGCAGUGGGGAAUUUUGGACAAUGGGGGCAACCCUGAUCCAGCCAUGCCGCGUGAGUGAAGAAGGCCUUCGGGUUGUAAAGCUCUUUCGGCCGGGAAGAAAUCGCACGGGCUAAUACCCUGUGUGGAUGACGGUACCGGAAUAAGAAGCACCGGCUAACUACGUGCCAGCCGCCGCAGUAAUAC